rnacentral:tRNA from 1 species
UUAAUUGAAACCAAAAAGAGGUUUAUUACUGUUAAUAAUAACAUUGAAAAAAAAAUUUCCAAUUAAA